rnacentral:rRNA from 1 species
GCUUGUCUCAAAGAUUAAGCCAUGCAUGUCUAAGUAUAAACGACUUUAUACUGUGAAACUGCGAAUGGCUCAUUAUAUCAGUUAUAGUUUAUUUGAUGGUCCUUGCUACUUGGAUAACCGUAGUAAUUCUAGAGCUAAUACAUGCACAAAGGCCCAUUCACGUGGGUUGUGAUUAUUAGAUUCAAACCGGCCUCGUUCUGGUGAUUCAUAAUAAUUGGUCGAAUCGCAUGGCCUUGCGCCGGCGAUGUUUCAUUCAAAUUUCUGCCCUAUCAAUUUGAUGGUAGGAUAGAGGCCUACCAUGGUGGUAACGGGUGACGGAGAAUUAGGGUUCGAUUCCGGAGAGGGAGCCUGAGAAACGGCUACCACAUCCAAGGAAGGCAGCAGG